AUUGAACGCUGGCGGCAGGCCUAACACAUGCAAGUCGAACGAGUGGCGGACGGGUGAGUAAUGUCUGGGAAACUGCCCGAUGGAGGGGGAUAACUACUGGAAACGGUAGCUAAUACCGCAUACUAUCGGAUGCGCCCAGAUGGGGUUAGCUAGUAGGUGGGGUAACGGCUCACCUAGGCGACGAACCCUAGCUGGUCUGAGAGGAUGACCAGCCACACUGGAACUGGGCCACGGUCCAGACUCCUACGGGAGGCAGCAGUGGGGAAUAUUGCACAAUGGGCGAAAGCCUGAUGCAGCCAUGCCGCGUGUAUGAAGAAGGCCUUCGGGUUGUAAAGUACUUUCAGCGAGGAGGCGUUACUCGCAGAAGAAGCACCGGCUAACUCCGUGCCAGCAGCCGCGGUAAUUC
rnacentral:rRNA from 1 species